GAUUAUGGCUCAGAACGAACGCUGGCGGCAGGCCUAAGUCAUGCAAGUUGAACGGCUGUAGCAAUACAGCAGUAGCGGACGGGUGAGUAAUGUAUGGGAACGUAUCUUCUAGUGGGGAAUAUUCUUUGGAAACGAAGAGCAAUACCGCAUGAGUCCUACGGGAGAAAGUCGCAAGACGCUAGAUGAGCGGCCCAUAUUGGAUUAGCUAGUUGGUUAGGUAAUGGCUGACCAAGGCAACGAUCCAUAGCUGGUCUAAGAGGACGAUCAGCCACAUUGGGACUGAGACACGGCCCAGACUCCUACGGGAGGCAGCAGUCAGGAAUAUUGGACAAUGGGGGCAACCCUGAUCCAAGCCAUGCCGCGUGAGUGUUAAGGUCUUCGGAUUGUAAAGCUCUUUUGUGUGGGAAAAUGAUGAUGGUACCACAAGAAUAAGCACCGGCUAACUUCGUGCCAGCCGCCGC
rnacentral:rRNA from 1 species